UGCCAGCCGCCGCGGUAAUACGAAGGUCCCAAGCGUUGUUCGGAAUCACUGGGCGUAAAGCGUGUGUAGGCUGCGCGGAAAGUCAAAUGUGAAAGCCCGGGGCUCAACCUCGGAACUGCAUUCGAUACUCCCGUGCUAGAGUAAUGGAGAGGUAAGUGGAAUUCCUGGUGUAGCAGUGAAAUGCGUGGAUAUCAGGAGGAACAUCAAUGGCGAAGGCGACUCUCUGGGCCAAUACUGACGCUGAGGUUCGAAAGCAUGGGUAGCAAACAGGAUUAGAUA
rnacentral:rRNA from 1 species